rnacentral:rRNA from 1 species
AGUGAACGCUGGCGGUAGGCCUAACACAUGCAAGUCGAACGGCAGCACAGUAAGAGCUUGCUCUUACGGGUGGCGAGUGGCGGACGGGUGAGGAAUACAUCGGAAUCUACUUUUUCGUGGGGGAUAACGUAGGGAAACUUACGCUAAUACCGCAUACGACCUACGGGUGAAAGCAGGGGAUCUUCGGACCUUGCGCGAUUGAAUGAGCCGAUGUCGGAUUAGCUAGUUGGCGGGGUAAAGGCCCACCAAGGCGACGAUCCGUAGCUGGUCUGAGAGGAUGGUCAGCCACACGGGAACUGAGACACGGUCCAGACUCCUACGGGAGGCAGCAGUGGGGAAUAUGGGACAAUGGGCGCAAGCCUGAGCCAGCCAUACCGCGUGGGUGAAGAAGGCCUUCGGGUUGUAAAGCCCUUUUGUUGGGAAAGAAAAGCAGCAGGUUAAUACCCCGCUGUUCUGACGGUACCCAAAGAAUAAGCACCGGCUAACUUCGU